AUUUUUGUGCUGAGGCAAUAUUGCAGUUAAUGAGAUUUUAAUCAAAGCACAAUUACUGCUGAUUGAAAGUUGCCAUGACAGUAACGUAUUGGUGAGACUGAUUAUAUUUAAAUGCUGAACUUUAG
rfam:Canis lupus familiaris chromosome X, whole genome shotgun sequence.